CUAACCUGCUCACUGAAUGUUUUAAAGAGCCGCGGUAUUUUGACCGUGCAAAGGUAGCAUAAUCAUUAGUCUCUUAAUUAGAGGCUGGUAUGAAUGGUUUGACGAAAAAUCAUCUGUCUCUUAUUAAAUUAUAGAAUUUAAUUUUUGAGUUAAAAAGCUUAAAUUUUUCUUUAAGACGAGAAGACCCUAUAGAGCUUAACAUUUUAUUUUUAUAUAAUUUUUUGUUAUGUUUUUUUAUAUUUAAAGAUAAUGUUUUGUUGGGGUGACAUGAAGAAUAGAUAAACUCUUCGUAAUAAAAUCAUUAAUUUAUGUUUAUUUGAUCCAUAAUUUAUGAUCAUAAGAUUUAGUUACCUUAGGGAUAACAGCGUAAUUAUUUUUGAGAGCUCAUAUCGACAAAAUAGAUUGCGACCUCGAUGUUGGAUUAAGAAUAGCUUUGGGUGCAGAAGCCCAAUAAUUAGGUCUGU
rnacentral:rRNA from 1 species